rnacentral:rRNA from 1 species
GACGAACGCUGGCGGCGUGCUUAACACAUGCAAGUCGAACGAUGAACUUGGAGCUUGCUCUGGGGGAUUAGUGGCGAACGGGUGAGUAACACGUGAGUAACCUGCCCUGGACUCUGGGAUAACUUCGAGAAAUCGGAGCUAAUACCGGAUAGGACCUUGCACCGCAUGGUGUGGGGUGGAAAGUUUUUCGGUUUGGGAUGGACUCGCGGCCUAUCAGCUUGUUGGUGAGGUAAUGGCUCACCAAGGCGUCGACGGGUAGCCGGCCUGAGAGGGUGACCGGCCACACUGGGACUGAGAGCCGGCCCAGACUCCGACGGGAGGCAGCAGUGGGGAAUAUUGCACAAUGGGCGCAAGCCUGAUGCAGCAACGCCGCGUGCGGGAUGACGGCCUUCGGGUUGUAAACCGCUUUUAGUAGGGAAGAAGCCUUCGGGUGACGGUACCUGCAGAAAAAGGACCGGCUAACUACGUGCCAGCCGCCGCAGUAAGAC